rnacentral:lncRNA from 1 species
CAGCUCGUGCGGCAUUGCGUCCCUGGCUUCGAACGAGAAGAAGAAAAGAAGCGGCAGCGUGGCAGCGGCUGGCGGUUUGGAGCGAGCACUGGGCUUCACAAAAAUCCGAAGCGGAAACAAGUCAAGCGACAAUGGGAAUCCCAGGAUUCUUUUCGUGGAUCAGCAAAAAAUACCCGUCCAUUGUCGCCCGCUGCGUCGAGGAGAAGCCAACCAUUGUUGAUGGUGAGGUGGUUCCCGUGGACACAACCAAGCUGAACCCGAAUUAUGUAGAGUUCGACUGCCUGUAUGUUGACAUGAACAGCAUCGUCCACAUGUGCUCGCAUCCAGAGA